rnacentral:lncRNA from 1 species
AAUUUAUUUGCUAAUAUGAAGAUUAGAAGGUGGAAAUCAGGCCAAAUGUUCCGCUUUUUUAAUUGAAUGAAAUUUUGUAUUUAAGGCUGUCAUCACAUUAUACAAUCAAAAAACAAAAGGAUGAAUUGACAAAGCAGGCAACUGUUUUUGCAUUUUCCAGCGAGUUCUUCAGCUCAUUGAUUUACAUGCACGGCAUUACAGUGUAUCCUUCAAUGCAGUCAGUUUUAAAAAGGGUAAAUAACUUAAUUAAUUGUAUUACAGAACAAAGCAGCUGGGUUUCUUUAACAGAUGGGUUCUCUGCCUGCUUGCCAUCCUUUGGACAGUUUCCACGGCUCAGAGCCCUCCGGCCCCCAAAACACCAACAGCAACUGCAGGUACAGGUAAAUGAUUCACAAAAUCAUGUCACUUUCUAAUAAUGUUGACUUCUUUUUU